AAGGAUUUAAGUUAAUAUAAACUAUUAACCUUCAAAGUUAAAUAUAGAGAAAAAUUUCUAAGCCUUA
rnacentral:tRNA from 1 species